rnacentral:rRNA from 1 species
GACAGAGGGUGCGAACGUUGCUCGGAAUUACUGGGCGUAAAGCGCGUGUAGGCGGGUAAUCAGGUCAGAUGUGAAAGCCCUGGGCUCAACCCAGGAACUGCAUUUGAAACUGGUUGCCUUGAGUGUUGGAGAGGGAAGCGGAAUUCCUGGUGUAGAGGUGAAAUUCGUAGAUAUCAGGAGGAACACCGGUGGCGAAGGCGGCUUCCUGGACAACUACUGACGCUGAGACGCGAAAGCGUGGGGAGCAAACAGG